rnacentral:rRNA from 1 species
GACGAACGCUGGCGGCGUGCCUAACACAUGCAAGUCGAGCGAAGGAAGUUCCUUCGGGAACGGAUUUAGCGGCGGACGGGUGAGUAACACGUGGGCAACAUGCCUCAUAGAGGGGAAUAGCCUUCCGAAAGGGAGAUUAAUACCGCAUAAGAUUGUAGUACCGCAUGGUAUAGCAAUUAAAGGAGCAAUCCGCUAUGAGAGGGGACCGGGGCGCUUUAGCUAGUUGGUGAGGUAACGGCUCACCGAGGCGACGAUGCGUGGCCGACCUUGGAGGGUGAUCGGCCACAUUGCGACUGAGACCCGGCCCAGACUCCUACGGGAGGCAGCAGUGGGGAAUAUUGCACAAUGGGGGAAACCCUGAUGCAGCAACGCCGCGUGAGUGAUGACGGCCUUCGGGUUGUAAAGCUCUGUCUUCAGGGACGAUAAUGACGGUACCUGAAGAAGAAGCCACGGCUAACUACGUGCCAGCCGCCGCAGUAACAC